rnacentral:lncRNA from 1 species
UUUUAUUCUCAUUUUUACCAGAUAAUAGGUAUAUUUAUAUCUAUACAAAUAUCGUUUUCUUACUAUUUUAAUAUUAAUGAAUUAUUUUUAUAAAAAAAUCAUGAAAAAAUUAAACAUGAUAAUAUCAAAUAUUUAAUAUAAAAAUAUAUAUUUGUGACAUCCCAAAUAUAUAAUAACCUCAAUCAUAUUAUAUAGGCGUCAUCAUUCAAAUAAAGAGAACAGUCAGAGUAUGACUUGCGAUUAAUUGGAGGAUUACAGUCAUCCAGAAUGACCUAGUUUAAAACUUUAAUCAUAGCAGAGUAUUUCAAAAUAAUCUAAUUAGUAUCUCAAAAUAACAUAAGCUAAAUAAGUGAAAUCCUAAAGAGAGCUAAGUAGCAGCGUCAGCGUCCUCCAGCACUUGCUCCAAGGGGACCUCCUCAACAACAUCUGCUCCCAUCCAAGUGGAUGAUCAUCGCAAAAGAAAGCAUACCCAAGCAACAUACAACACAAAAGUAAGGGUGAGCUAGGUAAACAAACAACAUACAUAUAAUAAGUCAAUCAAUGUCAUCAUGCUUAAUUAAAGAACAAACAAGGCAUACCAACCAAACCAUGCAUCAAAUACUCAACGGGACUCAUCCGGAUUUGGUAUAACUGUCUAGCUAUUGGUUGUCUUUGCACUUGCAUAGUUCAGCUGGCCCAUCCCCAACACUAUACAAGGUAAAUCCCCCAAUCUGUCUAUGUCUAAACUCCAAGACUAUAGACGAGGACCUCCCUCUACUCUCACCACUCACACUGUUCUUCUCUAUUUGAGCAUGAACAAUGCUUUGAGUGUAGGGAUAGACAUACCAUUUCAAAGCUCCCAACAUUAUGCAGACAACAACAACAUCUCUACAAUCACAUCCACUCAUCUCACCCUGAGAUGUUCAAUUCACACUCAAGUUCAUCAAUUCACAGUCAUGUUAUUUCAAGUCACACGAGUCACCUAGAUAGACAUACAUACAUGACAUUCGGUAGAGCAAACAACGUUAAUCAAUCCAUAUGCCUUAACUAACCAAUCACAAAUCACCAAAUUUGUAACAUCUCUCGCAAUAAGAUACGCAUUGCUCAAUAACAUGCGUUGCUCAUAAAUCACAAGGCUCAUAGCACAAUUUCAAUACAUUCCACACUAAAUCUCAAUAAUAAACAUUACCUUGUCACACAAAGUUUUACUACACUAUAUAAAAUAUUAUGACAUAAAGUAAAUUCCCCAACACAUAAAAUUAUUACGACUUUNAACCACAAACCACAAUACUUAUAAAUAUUCAACUUUUAUUAUUUAUUUUCUAUACAUGAUAAUUCUUCAUAUUAAAUUAUGAAAAAUAUUUAUACCAACUCUUAACUUAUAUGUAUAUAUUGAGAAACGAAACAACGUGUAUGUUAGCCAAAAAUUUAAUCUAACAUCAAACUUAAUAGUUUUAAUACUUAUAAUAUAAUAUAAUAUUAUAUAUAAUUUAACCUGUCAAGUUUUCAUACUGUUAUAUAUUCAUAUAAAAGUUAUAUAUUAUUAUAUAAAGUACGAGAAUCAUAACAGCAAAUAACCAUUUGAUAAAAUAUUAUAAUCUAAUANACUAAGUUCAUCCAGCAAUUUAUAAGACAUAGACCGUUAAUUCUAUAAAAAGUAACUUUAAUUCUAAAGGUUAUCAAACUUAUUCUGAACAACCAGUACCCCAUUCUUAUUUCAAUAUCAAGUUUUUAAUAUUAAAAGUGAUCCUUACACAUAUUUUCUAUUAACCAAAAUUUUUAACAUUUCAACUCCAUUUAAUAAUAUUGUGUGUGUNNNNNNNNNNNNNNNNNNNNNNNNNNNGAGACAUAUGUAUCCUUAUAUUUUACUACUAUUCAAACAGAAAAUAGAGGAGAACUAUCAUCUUCUCAUACCAUAUAACACUUCAAGCAUCAAAUUACCUAUUUCUCACCCCAAUUUGUAUAUUCUGUAAACACAAAAACACAUGCCAAUAUGUAUACAGUAUUACAGAAUCUAGUAUAUCAUAAUAUAAUCAAUUACCCAAAACAAUUCAACAUCAAUCUAACAAUUAUUUCGUACUCAAAUCAUCAAUACCCAUAUGACUAGAAAGGAAUAGCAAGAAACAUAUCAUUCAUCACACACACAAUUAAACAUACGAAAUAGCUCCCCUUACCUUGAAAUUUCUUUUCUCAGCUCAAAGACCUGCAACUACAGUACCCCCACACGCGAAUAAUCUAGACAACACCCUACAACCCGCAAUGUGGUGAUAAAGAACAACUCUUAGAGUUAGAAUUUGACAGGGAUUGGAAGAAAAAAAAGAAGACACAUGCAAUAGUAGAUUGCAUGGUCUAGGGUUCCAAAACACCGAAGAACAGUGAAGAGCAACUUACAGCCAGGAAUCCUGAAAUCGAUCGGUGCCAAUUGAAGCUCUCGACGUCAGGAUCGUUUAGGUGCCUACGAAUCGAAAUUCUAACGGUUCAAUUGAGAGAAAAGAUAGAGAGAAGGCAGAGAAGGGGAAUGAGGUUUUCUAGAGAGAGAAGCUUUCUUCAGGAAAUAACUUUGUUGUUUAGAAAGUUCAGCAGAAAACUAAAGAAAAUAGGUUUUCUUUUUAUUAAACGCCCCUCCC